GUGGACUAACAGUUAUGUAUUUGUAACCUGACAACUGGACGUACAGGAACAGAGGGGUUGAGGGCCCUGCUCAAUGAGCUUACAUUCUAGAGUGAGUGGGGUAUAGUGACACAAAGGGUAAAAGUCAGGGUACGAAAUAGGUUGUUAGAAAAGUAUUCACUGAGGGCUUAGUGGGUAAUUUUUGACAGUUGCAGGAGAGGAGUCAUGGUGGGUGGGGGAUAAAAACCUGC